rnacentral:sRNA from 1 species
AAUUAUCUGGGCAUGGUGGCGCAUGGCUGUGAUCCCAGCUUUGGGUGGCUGAAGUAGGAUGACUUGAGCCCAGGAGGUUGAGGCUGCAGUGAGCCAUGAUUGAGCCACUGCAUCCCAGUGUGGAUGACAGAGUAAGACCCUGUCUCUUAAAAAAAUUUCAUAUAGUUCUAUGAAAAAUUAUUAAUUUAUGGUGGAGGAUAAAGGACUCAGAUGAACAGGGAUAUCAGACUCUCUUCUCAACCCGUGUAGCCCUUCACAACAUCAUACCAUUCCGUCAUAAAGCACCAGCUGCCUGGAGGUCACACCAGAGUGGAGCAGGAACAUCCCAGGCUCCGGCCAGGCUCAGCUCAGCACAACCAAGACUUCAGAUUAUAAACUAUAAUUCUUCCCCUUCUAACAUUGUUGUGUUUUGUUUCUUUUCCAAUAGGUUCCAAAGUCUGGCACGCCCCAGCUUCCUAGUAAUAGAGAAGGAGACAUUUCUAAAAUCGCACCCAGAACUGUCUACACCAAGAGCAAAGAUUCGACUGUCAAUCACACUUUGACUUGCACCAAA